CAAUUCUGGUUGAUCCUGCCAGAGACCGCUGCUAUCCGGCUGGGACUAAGCCAUGCGAGUCAAGGGGCUUGCCGCAAGGCAAGCACCGGCGGACGGCUCAGUAACACGUGGACAACCUGCCCUCGGGAGGGGGAUAACCCCGGGAAACUGGGGCUAAACCCCCAUAGGAGAUGGAUACUGGAAGGUUCCAUCUCCGAAAGUCCGCAAGGAGCCCGAGGAUGGGUCUGCGGCGGAUUAGGUAGUUGGUGGGGUAACGGCCCACCAAGCCGAAGAUCCGUACGGGCCAUGGGAGUGGGAGCCCGGAGAUGGACCCUGAGACAAGGGUCCAGGCCCUACGGGGCGCAGCAGGCGCGAAACCUUCGCAAUGCGGGAAACCGCGACGAGGUCAGCCGGAGUGCCGGUGCUCGCAUCGGCUGUCGGGGAGUCUAAAAAGCUCCCCAUAGCAAGGGCCGGGCAAGGCCGGUGGCAGCCGCCGCGGUAAUACCGGCGGCCUGAGUGGCGGUCACUAUUAUUGGGCUUAAAGCGUCCGUAGCCGGGUUGGUAAGUCUCCCGGGAAAUCUGGCCGCUUAACGGUCAGAAUUCCGGGAGAUACUGCCAGCCUAGGGACCGGGAGAGGCCGAGGGUAUUCCCGGAGUAGGGGUGAAAUCCUAUAAUCCCGGGAGGACCAC
rnacentral:rRNA from 1 species